CCAGGACAGCUGCCUCAGCCUCAUCAAGUACCUCCUCUUCGUCUUCAACCUCUUCUUUUUCGUCCUAGGCAGCCUGAUUUUCUGCUUCGGGAUCUGGAUACUCGUGGACAAGACCAGCUUCGUGUCAUUUGUGGGCUUGUCCUUCAUGCCCCUGCAGAUCUGGUCCAAGGCGCUGGCCAUCUCAGGGGUCCUCACCAUGGGCCUGGCCCUGCUGGGCUGCGUGGGGGCCCUGAAGGAGCUGCGCUGCCUCCUAGGCCUGUAUUUUGGGAUGCUGCUGCUCCUGUUUGUCACCCAGAUCACCCUGGGG